rnacentral:rRNA from 1 species
UACGUAGGCAGCAAGCGUUGUUCGGAAUUACUGGGCGUAAAGAGUGUGUAGGUGGUGUCGUAAGUUUGAUGUGAAAUCCCCCGGCUUAACUGGGAGGGUGCGCCGAAGACUGCGAUGCUGGAGUAUGGGAGAGGAAAGCGGAAUUCCUGGUGUAGCGGUGAAAUGCGUAGAUAUCAGGAGGAACACCUGCGGUGUAGACGGCUUUCUGGACCAUUACUGACACUGAGACACGAAAGCGUGGGUAGCAAACAGG